AAACGCAGUCACCAUUCAGAGCC
rnacentral:siRNA from 1 species